AACGAACGCUGGCGGCAGGCCUAACACAUGCAAGUCGAGCGAGGACUUCGGUCCUAGCGGCGGACGGGUGAGUAACGCGUGGGAACGUGCCCUUUGCUUCGGAAUAGCCCUGGGAAACUGGGAGUAAUACCGGAUGAGCCCUUUGGGGGAAAGAUUUAUCGGCGAAGGAUCGGCCCGCGUUGGAUUAGGUAGUUGGUGGGGUAAUGGCCUACCAAGCCGACGAUCCAUAGCUGGUUUGAGAGGAUGAUCAGCCACACUGGGACUGAGACACGGCCCAGACUCCUACGGGAGGCAGGAGUGGGGAAUCUUAGACAAUGGGGGAAACCCUGAUCGAGCCAUGCCGCGUGAGCGAUGAAGGCCUUAGGGUUGUAAAGCUCUUUCAGCUGGGAAGAUAAUGACGGUACCAGCAGAAGAAGCCCCGGCUAACUCCGUG
rnacentral:rRNA from 1 species